rnacentral:rRNA from 1 species
AUUGAACGCUGGCGGCACGCCUAACACAUGCAAGUCGAGCGGCAGCGCGAUAUGUAGCAAUACAUAUUGGCGGCGAGCGGCGGACGGGUGAGGAACAGGUAGGAACCUACCCUCGAGUGGGGGAUAACCAAGGGAAACUUUGGCUAAUACCGCAUGCUUUCGAGAGAGAAAAGCUGACGCAAGGUGGCGAUCGAGGAUGGGCCUCCGUCGGAUUAGCUAGUUGGGGAGAUAAGAGCUGAGCAAGGCGAUGAUCGGUAACUGGUCUGAGAGGACGAGCAGUCACACUGGGACUGAGACACGGCCCAGACUCCUACGGGAGGCAGCAGUGGUGAAUAUUGGACAAUGGGGGCAACCCUGAUCCAGCGAUGCCGCGUGAGUGAAGAAGGCCUUCGGGUCGUAAAGCUCUUUAGGUUGGGAAGAAGAGUGAUGGAGGAAAUGCUAUCACUUUGACGGUACCGACAGAAUAAGCACCGGCAAACUCUGUGCCAGCCGCCGCCGUAACAC